rnacentral:misc_RNA from 1 species
UAAUAAGUGUUUUAUGGCACUUUUUAAAUCCAUAUCCACCUUGUGUGCAAUGUCAGUCGACUCUUCUUCAUGGAGAUCGACCAAACAUCAACCUUUAUCUUUUAACUCUUUGUCUGAAAAAUAUUAUGAAUAAACAAUUCAAAAUA